ensembl:lncRNA
UGUUUUGACUGUCUCCUAUAUGCCUCUAUAUUUUAUAAACGUUCAUUGUGUGUGUCUCCUCUUUCAGUUGGAAUCAUUCUGUUUGUGUACUCGAACAUCAAACUGACAUUAGGAGCAUCUGUUGUCUUGCAAUGCAAUGGGACGAGACAGAACGAUGGACAGUUCCUCUUUGUCAUUUUGUAUAACAUUAAAGAGUACUUCAGUGACUGCGAGAAACAAUGGCUUGUCAAUGGAACUCUGACAGGUCUUUUUGAGGAAGGAAAUCCAUCUUUCAUCUCUCCUAUUACAAACCUGACCGCAAGCACUGCCACUCUGCAGGCCUGUCCUGAAAAUCUUGAGUGUCUGCUCUCCUGCCCCACUGGCAAAAUCAAUGAAAAGCAACUGUGCUCUUGUGAUAUCAGCACUCCGACUUCACUUUCUGAAGGUAAGAUUCAACUGCUUAUGCUAUAGUGCUAAUUUCUGUCAAGCUACUGUAAGGGAAGUUGGAAAUAAUUAGUUACGAAUGAGUUGCACAUUUUCUUUAAGCAAAAAUAGGUUUUUUAGACCAACAAACUUGUAGCCUAUCCUGAUUCAUAAGGCAGUAAUCAUCCUUCCAGCAAAAUAGAGGGUAGUGGCCGACUACUACUUAUUGACUUUGAUUCUGGAGCUAUUUUGUUUUCUUCACAGAUAUAUUAGGGAUAUAUUAAAAUUCUUCAAAAAAAAUUUUGAACCAAACUAUCCAGCUCUGAGAUGAGAUGAAUCACAAAAUUACAACUUUCAUUUACAGCACAAUGUUUCAGAAAAUCAAAGGAGGAAAGAGGCAAAAGUGUUUGACUUUUGAGGCAAUAACCUACACGUUACUUGAAGCACUGCAAAUGACAGAUUCAAAUCAAAAAUGCUGGUACAAUAUAAAAUAUGAUUUUAAAUAUAGAUUUAGCAAUUAACUUCACAAAUAUGGUAUUACAAGACUAAUACAAAGACUAUAGAAUACCCAAGAUGUGUCACUCGUAUAGAAUUGAAUGGGGAAAAAUGCAAAGCUCAAUAUGGCUGCUCUAUCAAAGGAAGCCCCAUCUUCUGAAUAAAAGAGCCAAUCACAAAUCGGUAAGUCA